rnacentral:rRNA from 1 species
CCUACGGGCGGCUGCAGUGGGGAAUAUUGGACAAUGGGCGCAAGCCUGAUCCAGCAAUGCCGCGUGAGUGAUGAAGGCCUUCGGGUCGUAAAGCUCUUUUACCAGGGAUGAUAAUGACAGUACCUGGAGAAUAAGCUCCGGCUAACUCCGUGCCAGCAGCCGCGGUAAUACGGAGGGAGCUAGCGUUGUUCGGAAUUACUGGGCGUAAAGAGUACGUAGGCGGCUAUUCAAGUCAGAGGUGAAAGCCCGGGGCUCAACCCCGGAACUGCCUUUGAAACUAGGUAGCUAGAAUCUUGGAGAGGUCAGUGGAAUUCCGAGUGUAGAGGUGAAAUUCGUAGAUAUUCGGAAGAACACCAGUGGCGAAGGCGACUGACUGGACAAGUAUUGACGCUGAGGUACGAAAGCGUGGGGAGCAAACAGGAUUAGAUACCCCAGUAGUC